rnacentral:rRNA from 1 species
CUACGUGCCAGCAGCCGCGGUAAUACGGAGGGUGCGAGCGUUAAUCGGAAUAACUGGGCGUAAAGGGCACGCAGGCGGUGACUUAAGUGAGGUGUGAAAGCCCCGGGCUUAACCUGGGAAUUGCAUUUCAUACUGGGUCGCUAGAGUACUUUAGGGAGGGGUAGAAUUCCACGUGUAGCGGUGAAAUGCGUAGAGAUGUGGAGGAAUACCGAAGGCGAAGGCAGCCCCUUGGGAAUGUACUGACGCUCAUGUGCGAAAGCGUGGGGAGCAAACAGGAUUAGAUACCCUGGUAGUCCACGCUGUAAACGAUGUCGAUUUGGGGGUUGAACUUUGUGUUUGGCGCCCGUAGCUAACGUGAUAAAUCGACCGCCUGGGGAGUACGGCCGCAAGGUUAAAACUCAAAUGAAUUGACGGGGGCCCGCACAAGCGGUGGAGCAUGUGGUUUAAUUCGAUGCAACGCGAAGAACCUUACCUACUCUUGACAUCCAGAGAACAUUC